GACGAACGCUGGCGGCGUGCCUAAUACAUGCAAGUCGAACGAACUCUGGUAUUGAUUGGUGCUUGCAUCAUGAUUUACAUUUGAGUGAGUGGCGAACUGGUGAGUAACACGUGGGAAACCUGCCCAGAAGCGGGGGAUAACACCUGGAAACAGAUGCUAAUACCGCAUAACAACUUGGACCGCAUGGUCCGAGCUUGAAAGAUGGCUUCGGCUAUCACUUUUGGAUGGUCCCACGGCGUAUUAGCUAGAUGGUGGGGUAAUGGCUCACCAUGGCAAUGAUACGUAGCCGACCUGAGAGGGUAAUCGGCCACAUUGGGACUGAGACACGGCCCAAACUCCUACGGGAGGCAGCAGUAGGGAAUCUUCCACAAUGGACGAAAGUCUGAUGGAGCAACGCCGCGUGAGUGAAGAAGGGUUUCGGCUCGUAAAACUCUGUUGUUAAAGAAGAACAUAUCUGAGAGUAACUGUUCAGGUAUUGACGGUAUUUAACCAGAAAGCCACGGCUAACUACGUGCCAGCAGCCGCAGUAA
rnacentral:rRNA from 1 species